rnacentral:rRNA from 1 species
UACGUAGGCAGCAAGCGUUGUUCGGAGUUACUGGGCGUAAAGCGCACGCAGGCGGUCUGCUAAGUUUGGAGUGACAGUUGGCGGCUUAACUGCCAAAGUGCUUCGAAAACUGACAGACUUGAGGGCUUCAGAGGGACACGGAAUUCCGGGUGGAGUGGUGAAAUGCGUAGAGAUCCGGAGGAACACCAAAGGCGAAGGCAGUGUCCUGGGGAGUACCUGACGCUCAGGUGCGAAAGCCAGGGGAGCGAACGGG